UAUCGUGUUACGAGGAGAUAGGUGGAUGAUGGUACCAAUAUAUAAGAAUAGUUGAGUACCUUAAGAGAGAGUACAUUUUUCUUUUUCAAGAAAUUUCAUUGUCAAAGAUGAUCCAUGAAAAAAAUGAACCACUUUCAAACUUGGAAACAACUGACAAGGUACACAACAUAGAAGUGGAGGACAUUUGCAAUAAUUCUAGUUCGGGCCAACCAAAAUUCGAAAGUAAUAAUGGAGAUGAUUAUUUGCUGAAGAAAAAGGAAAGAAUACAAGACAAGGCUGACGAAGUCUUUCCAAACAAAAUUUUUGAAGACGAAUUCGUCAAACCAAUUUUAUUUACCGGCUCUUCUCGAAGUCAAGACAAGAGUGGCAACUUGCCGGAUUGCAGAGUGGGACAAGUCUUCUCUUUUAUCAAGAAAAAGUCUCGGCCAACAGCCACAGUUGGAGCCGGCAAAAAAUUAGUGUUUUUGUCAUCAAAUGCUAAACCUCCGAAGAUUCCAAAAGUUAACAAAACAGCUGGGGUGGGGAGGCAAGGAACGCUGAAGAUCAUAGUGUUGAAGGGAACAAAGAAAACAAAGAAAAAGAAAUAUACUGUUUUGAUGUUACAAGGCCAAAUUGUUUUAAUAUUUGCCAAGGCAUGAAAUGCAAAUUCAAGCCAAACCCAAAGAUGGGUCUCAAAUUUGAAGAAAUUCAGGCCGCUGCAUUCAUAUUUUCUGCAGAGCUGGAUCCAGGAGAAGAGCUUCUUAAGAUAGGAGAUGUGACUGCAACUAGGAAGGAUUUUGAGUCGCUCUAUCCAACACAACAAAUAAGUGAAAAGAUAUUGUACUUGACUGCCUUAAAAUGUGUCCAUAAUCAGACUUUAUUGACAUGGAAAAAUGUCUAGCAGCUUUCUCCAGCUUUUGCUGAUACCAUAUUAGAUGGAAAUAAUUUUGAUGAGAUAUUAGUUCCCAUGGUCGAACAGUUCAUGCAGCCAACUAAGGAUCUUCAGUUUAUAUACAUCCCAAUGAGAGACAUUGAGCACCGGUACAUGAUGGUUGAUGCAUAGCAUUCGGAUGGAUUUGACGGAGUUUUGUAGCAGAAAAGGAAGAAAGCGAAUGAUGCUGUCAACUCCGACCUCCUUGCACUCAAACUAAAAUAACUUGAGAUACAAAGGUUUAAUUCCUGUGAUUCUAGCAGCAUUGAAAAACUAACUUCCAGAGUUUUCCAACGAUAUAUAAUAGUAUACCCUUUUUUUCCAUUUCGUAUGGACCACUUCACGCCAAACUUGAGCUUCCUCAAGUUUGGCGCCAACUCAAAAGCCUCCAAGGAACACAUGCGUACACUUCCACGCCACUCAAGUUUGGUGCCACAAUCAAGGAAUGCUUUCUCUCUACUCCACGCCAAACUAAACUCAAGUUUGGCACCACACCCAGCAACAAUAGUGGUCCCCAUUCGUCAAAAGGCCUAUGCAAAUCAAUUAUUAAAUUUUGACGUAAACUUUUAUUAUUUUUUAUAAUUAGGAAAAGAUAUUAUUUUGUUUUAGGAAAUAUAUUUUACAUUAAUUAGGAUUAGAUAUAAAAGGGAAAAGAAUCAGUCCUUCGGGCUCCUCUCUUCUCUCAGACCUCAUUCCGCAA